rnacentral:rRNA from 1 species
GUCGAACGGCAGCGCGGACUUCGGUCUGGCGGCGAGUGGCGAACGGGUGAGUAAUGCAUCGGAACGUGCCCAGUAGCGGGGGAUAACUACGCGAAAGCGUGGCUAAUACCGCAUACGCCCUACGGGGGAAAGGGGGGGAUCGCAAGACCUCUCACUAUUGGAGCGGCCGAUGUCGGAUUAGCUAGUUGGUGGGGUAAAGGCCUACCAAGGCGACGAUCCGUAGCUGGUUUGAGAGGACGACCAGCCACACUGGGACUGAGACACGGCCCAGACUCCUACGGGAGGCAGCAGUGGGGAAUUUUGGACAAUGGGGGCAACCCUGAUCCAGCCAUGCCGCGUGUGCGAAGAAGGCCUUCGGGUUGUAAAGCACUUUUGGCGGGAAAGAAACGGCGCCGGAUAAUACCUGGCGUAACUGACGGUACCCGCAGAAUAAGCACCGGCUAACUACGUGCCAGCAGCCGCGGUAAUACGUAGGGUGCAAGCGUUAAUCGGAAUUACUGGGCGUAAAGCGUGCGCAGGCGGUUCGGAAAGAAAGAUGUGAAAUCCCAGGGCUCAACCUUGGAACUGCAUUUUUAACUCCCGAACUAGAGUAUGUCAGAGGGGGGUGGAAUUCCACGUGUAGCAGUGAAAUGCGUAGAUAUGUGGAGGAACACCGAUGGCGAAGGCAGCCCCCUGGGAUAAUACUGACGCUCAUGCACGAAAGCGUGGGGAGCAAACAGGAUUAGAUACCCUGGUAGUCCACGCCCUAAACGAUGUCAACUAGCUGUUGGGUUCUUCGGAGCUUGGUAGCGCAGCUAACGCGUGAAGUUGACCGCCUGGGGAGUACGGUCGCAAGAUUAAAACUCAAAGGAAUUGACGGGGACCCGCACAAGCGGUGGAUGAUGUGGAUUAAUUCGAUGCAACGCGAAAAACCUUACCUACCCUUGACAUGUCUGGAAUCCUGAAGAGAUUUAGGAGUGCUCGAAAGAGAACCGGAACACAGGUGCUGCAUGGCCGUCGUCAGCUCGUGUCGUGAGAUGUUGGGUUAAGUCCCGCAACGAGCGCAACCCUUGUCAUUAGUUGCUACGAAAGGGCACUCUAAUGAGACUGCCGGUGACAAACCGGAGGAAGGUGGGGAUGACGUCAGGUCCUCAUGGCCCUUAUGGGUAGGGCUUCACACGUCAUACAAUGGUCGGGACAGAGGGCAGCCAACCCGCGAGGGGGAGCCAAUCCCAGAAACCCGAUCGUAGUCCGGAUUGCAGUCUGCAACUCGACUGCAUGAAGUCGGAAUCGCUAGUAAUCGCGGAUCAGCAUGUCGCGGUGAAUACGUUCCCGGGUCUUGUACACACCGCCCGUCACACCAUGGGAGUGGGUUCUACCAGAAGUAGGUAGCCUAACCGUAAGGAGGGCGCU